AUUGAACGCUGGCGGCAGGCCUAACACAUGCAAGUCGAACGGUAACAGGAAACAGCUUGCUGUUUCGCUGACGAGUGGCGGACGGGUGAGUAAUGUCUGGGAAACUGCCUGAUGGAGGGGGAUAACUACUGGAAACGGUAGCUAAUACCGCAUAACGUCGCAAGACCAAAGAGGGGGACCUUCGGGCCUCUUGCCAUCGGAUGUGCCCAGAUGGGAUUAGCUAGUAGGUGGGGUAACGGCUCACCUAGACGACGAUCCCUAGCUGGUCUGCGAGGAUGACAAGCCACACUGGAACUGAGACACGGGCCAGACUCCUACGGGAGACAGCAGUGGGGAAUAUUGCACAAUGGGCGCAAGCCUGAUGCAGCCAUGUCGCGUGUAUGAAGAAGGCCUUCGGGUUGUAAAGUACUUUCAGCGGGGAGGAAGGGAGUAAAGUUAAUACCUUUGCUCAUUGACGUUACCCGCAGAAGAAGCACCGGCUAACUCCGUGCCAGCCGCCGCCGUAA
rnacentral:rRNA from 1 species